GGUUGUAUAGUUCAGUUGGUAGAGCAUCUGCCUUACAAGCAGGGGGUCAUAGGUUCGAACCCUAUUGCAACCACCA
rnacentral:tRNA from 1 species